UGGAUGUAGCUCAGUGGUAGAGCACCUGGUUGUGGUCCAGGCGGCCGCGGGUUCGAUCCCCGUCAUCCAGCCA
rnacentral:tRNA from 1 species